CAUGUACUCCCUCCGUUCGGAAUUACUUGUCUUGGAAAUGGAUGUACAUCUAGAUACAUCCAUUUCUGCGACAAGUAAUUCCGAACGGGGGGAGUAAAUC
rnacentral:pre_miRNA from 1 species